UACGUAGGUGGCAAGCGUUGUCCGGAAUUACUGGGCGUAAAGCGCGCGCAGGCGGUUCUUUAAGUCUGAUGUGAAAGCCCUCGGCUCAACCGAGGAGGGUCAUUGGAAACUGGAGGACUUGAGUGCAGAAGAGGAAAGUGGAAUUCCAAGUGUAGCGGUGAAAUGCGUAGAGAUUUGGAGGAACACCAGUGGCGAAGGCGACUUUCUGGUCUGUAACUGACGCUGAGGCGCGAAAGCGUGGGGAGCAAACAGG
rnacentral:rRNA from 1 species